rnacentral:tRNA from 11 species
UGGGGGAUCGUUCAAUGGUAGGACAACGGACUCUGACUCCGUGAAUCGUGGUUCGAAUCCACGUCUCCCAGCCA